UACGUAGGGUCCGAGCGUUGUCCGGAGUUACUGGGCGUAAAGCGCGCGCAGGCGGCGGUGCUGGCCCGGCGUGAAAGCCCCCGGCUCAACCGGGGAGGUCGUCGGGGACCGCACCGCUUGAGGGCGGUAGGGGCUGGUGGAAUGCCUGGUGUAGUGGUGAAAUGCGUAGAGAUCAGGCGGAACACCCGUGGCGAAGGCGGCCAGCUGGGCCGUCCCUGACCGCUGAGGCGCGAAGGCGUGGGGAGCGAACGGG
rnacentral:rRNA from 1 species